CUUCCGUAGGUGAACCUGCGGAAGGAUCAUUACCGAGUGAGGGCCCUCUGGGUCCAACCUCCCACCCGUGUUUAUUUUACCUUGUUGCUUCGGCGGGCCCGCCUUAACUGGCCGCCGGGGGGCUUACGCCCCCGGGCCCGCGCCCGCCGAAGACACCCUCGAACUCUGUCUGAAGAUUGUAGUCUGAGUGAAAAUAUAAAUUAUUUAAAACUUUCAACAACGGAUCUCUUGGUUCCGGCAUCGAUGAAGAACGCAGCGAAAUGCGAUACGUAAUGUGAAUUGCAAAUUCAGUGAAUCAUCGAGUCUUUGAACGCACAUUGCGCCCCCUGGUAUUCCGGGGGGCAUGCCUGUCCGAGCGUCAUUUCUGCCCUCAAGCACGGCUUGUGUGUUGGGCCCCGUCCUCCGAUCCCGGGGGACGGGCCCGAAAGGCAGCGGCGGCACCGCGUCCGGUCCUCGAGCGUAUGGGGCUUUGUCACCCGCUCUGUAGGCCCGGCCGGCGCUUGCCGAUCAACCCAAAUUUUUAUCCAGGUGACCUCGGAUCAGGUAGGU
rnacentral:sRNA from 1 species